GUGGGGAAUCUUCCGCAAUGGGCGCAAGCCUGACGGAGCAACGCCGCGUGAAUGAAGAAGGCCUUCGGGUCGUAAAGUUCUGUCUUUAGAGAAGAAGUCUCUCUAUGUGAAUAAUGUAGAGAGGUGACGGUACCUAAGGAGGAAGCUCCGGCUAACUACGUGCCAGCAGCCGCGGUAAUACGUAGGGAGCAAGCGUUGUCCGGAAUUACUGGGCGUAAAGGGCGCGUAGGCGGAUAAUUAAGUCAGGUGUGAAAACUCUGGGCUCAACCUGGAGAUUGCACUUGAAACUGGUUAUCUUGAGGGCAGGAGAGGAAAGUGGAAUUCCUAGUGUAGCGGUGAAAUGCGUAGAUAUUAGGAGGAACACCAGUGGCGAAGGCGACUUUCUGGACUGCACCUGACGCUGAGGCGCGAAAGCGUGGGGAGCGAACGGGAUUAGAUACCCUUGUAGUCC
rnacentral:rRNA from 1 species